rnacentral:rRNA from 1 species
GACGUAGGGCGCGAGCGUUGUCCGGAAUUACUGGGCGUAAAGAGCUCGUAGGUGGUUUGUCGCGUUGUUCGUGAAAAACUCACAGCUUAACUGUGGGCGUGCGGGCGAUACGGGCAGACUGGAGUACUGCAGGGGAGACUGGAAUUCCUGGUGUAGCGGUGAAAUGCGCAGAUAUCAGGAGGAACACCGGUGGCGAAGGCGGGAUCCUGGGCCAGUACUGACGCUGAGGAGCGAAAGCGUGGGGAGCAAACAGG